AUUGAACGCUGGCGGCAGGCCUAACACAUGCAAGUCGAGCGAGCGGCGGACGGGUGAGUAAUGUAUGGGAAACUGCCUGAUAGAGGGGGAUAACUACUGGACACGGUAGCUAAUACCGCAUACUAUCGGAUGAACCCAAAUGGGAUUAGCUAGUAGGUGGGGUAACGGCUCCCCUAGGCGACGAUCUCUAGCUGGUCUGAGAGGAUGAUCAGCCACACUGGAACUGAGACACGGCCCAGACUCCGACGGGAGGCAGCAGUGGGGAAUAUUGCACAAUGGGCGCAAGCCUGAUGCAGCCAUGCCGCGUGUAUGAAGAAGGCCUUAGGGUUGUAAAGUACUUUCAGCGGGGAGGCGUUACCCGCAGAAGAAGCACCGGCUAACUCCGUGCCAGCAGCCGCGGUAAUUC
rnacentral:rRNA from 1 species